rnacentral:rRNA from 1 species
GUUGUUGGGUAGGGGAGCGUUCUGUAAGCCGUUGAAGGUGGCCUGUGAGGGUUGCUGGAGGUAUCAGAAGUGCGAAUGCUGACAUAAGUAACGAUAAUGCGGGUGAAAAACCCGCACGCCGGAAGACCAAGGGUUCCUGUCCAACGUUAAUCGGGGCAGGGUGAGUCGACCCCUAAGGCGAGGCCGAAAGGCGUAGUCGAUGGGAAACAGGUUAAUAUUCCUGUACUUGGUGUUACUGCGAAGGGGGGACGGAGAAGGCUAUGUUGGCCGGGCGACGGUUGUCCCGGUUUAAGCAUGUAGGCGGAUGUUCCAGGUAAAUCCGGAACGUUAUUAACGCUGAGGUGUGAUGACGAGGCACUACGGUGCUGAAGUGACAAAUGCCCUGCUUCCAGGAAAAGCCUCUAAGCAUCAGGUAACAUCAAAUCGUACCCCAAACCGACACAGGUGGUCAGGUAGAGAAUACCAAGGCGCUUGAGAGAACUCGGGUGAAGGAACUAGGCAAAAUGGUGCCGUAACUUCGGGAGAAGGCACGCUGAUGGUA